rnacentral:rRNA from 1 species
UACGAAGGGGGCUAGCGUUGCUCGGAAUUACUGGGCGUAAAGGGAGCGUAGGCGGACUGUUUAGUCAGAGGUGAAAGCCCAGGGCUCAACCUUGGAAUUGCCUUUGAUACUGGCAGUCUUGAGUACGGAAGAGGUAUGUGGAACUCCGAGUGUAGAGGUGAAAUUCGUAGAUAUUCGGAAGAACACCAGUGGCGAAGGCGACAUACUGGUCCGUUACUGACGCUGAGGCUCGAAAGCUAGGGGAGCGAAUGGG